rnacentral:rRNA from 1 species
UGGGGGAUAUUGCGCAAUGGGGGCAACCCUGACGCAGCAACGCCGCGUGAAGGAUGAAGGUUUUCGGAUUGUAAACUUCUUUUAUUAAGGACGAAAAAUGACGGUACUUAAUGAAUAAGCUCCGGCUAACUACGUGCCAGCAGCCGCGGUAAUACGUAGGGAGCAAGCGUUGUCCGGAUUUACUGGGUGUAAAGGGUGCGUAGGCGGCUUUGCAAGUCAGAUGUGAAAUCUAUGGGCUCAACCCAUAAACUGCAUUUGAAACUGUAGAGCUUGAGUGAAGUAGAGGCAGGCGGAAUUCCCCGUGUAGCGGUGAAAUGCGUAGAGAUGGGGAGGAACACCAGUGGCGAAGGCGGCCUGCUGGGCUUUAACUGACGCUGAGGCACGAAAGCGUGGGUAGCAAACAGGAUUAGAUACCCUGGUAGUCCACGCUGUAAACGAUGAUUACUAGGUGUGGGGGGUCUGACCCCUUCCGUGCCGGAGUUAACACAAUAAGUAAUCCACCUGGGGAGUACGGCCGCAAGGUUGAAACUCAAAGGAAUUGACGGGGGCCCGCACAAGCAGUGGAGUAUGUGGUUUAAUUCGAAGCAACGCGAAGAACCUUACCAGGUCUUGACAUCCAACUAACGAAGUAGAGAUACAUUAGGUGCCCUUCGGGGAAAGUUGAGACAGGUGGUGCAUGGUUGUCGUCAGCUCGUGUCGUGAGAUGUUGGGUUAAGUCCCGCAACGAGCGCAACCCUUGCUAUUAGUUGCUACGCAAGAGCACUCUAAUAGGACUGCCGUUGACAAAACGGAGGAAGGUGGGGACGACGUCAAAUCAUCAUGCCUCUUAUGACCUGGGCUACACACGUACUACAAUGGAUGUUAACAGAGGGAAGCAAGACAGCGAUGUGGAGCAAACCCCUAAAAACAUUCUCAGUUCAGAUUGCAGGCUGCAACCCGCCUGCAUGAAGAUGGAAUUGCUAGUAAUCGCGGAUCAGCAUGCCGCGGUGAAUACGUUCCC